rnacentral:rRNA from 1 species
GACGAACGCUGGCGGCGUGCCUAAUACAUGCAAGUAGGACGCAGUUGCGAACGGGUGAGUAACGCGUAGGUAAAUACCUAUUAGAGGGGGCUAACUAUUGGAAACGAUAGCUAAUACCGCAUACUAGUAGAUGGACCUGCGUUGUAUUAGCUAGUAGGUAGGGUAAUGGGCUCACUAGGCAACGAUACAUAGGCGACCUGAAAAGGUGGUCGACCAAAAUGGGAAGGAGGCACGGGCCAGAAGCCUUCGGGGGGCAGCAGGAGGGAAUCUUCGGACAUGGGGGGAAACCUGACCGAGCAACGGCGCGGGGGUGAAGAAGGUUUUCGGGUCGGAAAGCUCUGUUGUGAAGGAAGCGGUACUUAACGAGAAAGGGACGGCUAACUACGUGCCAGCAGCCGCGGUAAUAC